GGGAGCGCCGGCUCCUGCCUCCCAUUCAUGUAACCUGUGUGUGUCUCUCUUUCUCUCUGUGUGUAACAGAGAGAGGGAGAGAGAGAGCGAGGAAAGGAGAGGAGGAGGAGGAGGGGGGAAGCUUUAAAUAAAGCCUUUGGAUUGCAGCUGCUUAUUUUGGGCAGUCCUACCAGGGACGAUUCCUGCCAGGAAAGAAGCUGGACCGGUCUCUUUUAUUUUGAUUUUGAUUUUUGGGGGUGGCGGUGGUGUAUUGCCGAGCUGCCUGCUGAGAUGAGCUCCGGUGCCUGGCCGUAGUAGCCCAGUUUGGGAUCGCUGGACACAUAAGUGGCAUUUCGGUGGGGAAGCCUGCAGACAUGUUCAGCUCGUGAAUCAAAAAGUGUAAUGAAGCCAGAGACUUGCAAAACUCCUUUAGUAGCAUAAACGAAUGAAUAUAACCGAGCUAACACUUGAAGCAAUGGCACAGUGGAUUUUUAAUGACCCGGAGAGGAGAACAAUGACCUCAAAUGCCGGUUGGGAGCACAACUUUAUUGUCGUUUUUUUAUUUCAG
rnacentral:lncRNA from 1 species